rnacentral:rRNA from 1 species
UACGUAGGGUGCGAGCGUUAAUCGGAAUUACUGGGCGUAAAGCGUGCGCAGGCGGGUCGUUAUGUCCGUUGUGAAAGCCCCGGGCUCAACCUGGGAAUGGCAAUGGAAACUGGCGGGCUAGAGUGUGGCAGAGGGGGGUGGAAUUCCGCGUGUAGCAGUGAAAUGCGUAGAGAUGCGGAGGAACACCGAUGGCGAAGGCAGCCCCCUGGGCUAGCACUGACGCUCAGGCACGAAAGCGUGGGGAGCAAACAGG